rnacentral:lncRNA from 10 species
GUGACCUGCUUUUAGAAUGCUUUGGGGAUUUAUUUCAGUCUUACUUAUACUUACCCACUCAUCUAGGACAAGUAAUAAUUAUGGAAAGUGAGUAAUGAAGACUGAUGGUUUGUGGAUCUCAUGUAUUUUAUUUCUUUGGAGCAAUCUCGAAAAGAAGAGAGGGACAACUGAUGCCUCCAUGGGUAAAUAGCCACAUAAGACCAGUGGCCACUGCAUUGGCUAGCACAGCCUUAGGACCACCUCCAGUUGUUGCCAAAGUCCAUCUGAAGCCACUCUUCCAGACAAGACAUCUGAAACUUCCAAGCACCUGGCUGGCAUCUUUACUUGGAUUUUGCUACUACUUCCAUCAAGGCUGGCGUGAUGAGGCAGGAAAAUGAGAUCACUCAAUGGCUAUUUCCAGUGCCCUUCAAUCACUAGGCAACUAGAUGAUUU